UACAGAGGGUGCAAGCGUUGUUCGGAAUUACUGGGCGUAAAGCGCGUGUAGGCGGCGGCGUAAGUCGGGUGUGAAAUCCCUCAGCUCAACUGAGGAAGUGCACUCGAUACUGUGUCGCUUGAAUGUCGGAGGGGAUGGCGGAAUUCCCGGUGUAGAGGUGAAAUUCGUAGAUAUCGGGAGGAACACCUGUGGCGAAGGCGGCCAUCUGGACGACAAGUU
rnacentral:rRNA from 1 species